UUCAAUGCAGGAAUAAUAAAAGAAAUAAAUAUGUAAACACGGAGAUUGGCAAAGUGCGGAGCGCUUUGCUAAUUACGUUUCGAAUGCUUAUUGGAGAUUGUAAUAUUAAAAGCAAGCAAAGGUAUUGAUUUUCUUAUCAACUUUAUCAAUUAGGUACAUAUGAGGCAAUCGACGAUUUACACUAGACACGCAGACGAUAAGUGAUAAGUUGGGAGUGACAGAUGUUACAUCGAUGCUGGGAAAACAAUGCUCUUGGUGGGACCCCAGCGCAGGGCUUGAGGAUUGGGGUGCUUGACCAGGAAAAUCCUGGGUUGGUACUUGUGCAUGGAGGACAGAAUCAAUUGUCCCGAUGGCGCCUUGCAGGCGUUGGUGAUUUUAAUCUUGGCGAAGGAGACGUUCUCCUCCAUCCAGAAGCUUCCAAGGGCGGGUGAGCUCGGGUGCAUGUAGAUGCGUUCAGAGCUUUGGGAUUCCUCCUGGCCUGCUGGGGACCAACCGCCGGCGGAGGAGAAUUUGAAGCGACAACGGUUGGAUAGGGCCAUCUCGAGGAAGACGCAGUAGUGGGCCUUUGGAUCGAGGUUGGAGAUUUUAACCACCAAGUGGGGGAACAUAUUUCUGAAAAAAAAACACCAGAUUAAAUAAAAUAAAUAAAAAAAUUGA